ACAAUCCUAAGUGAUUUUUAUAAUUGAACAAAUCUGUAAAAUUGUGUUUAAAUUCAAUGGUUUUUAUGUCUUAAUAACUUUUAUUCGCAUCCACCUCAAAUAAAGUGACAAAAGUUUUUAAAACAACUAAUCUAUGUUCUUCAUAAAUCUAAACUAAAACUUUUGGGAAUCUGCCUAUUUCAUACAAUUUGAAGUGAAUGAUUUAUGGGGGGAAAUGCAUUCUGUAACCAAGAGUUAUUUCCCUUUGAAACUCUUCAACGUGAUAAGGCAGUAAAAUUACAUAGAAACACAUAUAAUAUGGCGGGAUAAUGUCUUACUGCAUGCUGACAGAAGUUUAGACGAAGACAUGUGGCAUUCAAAAUAUUCUCUCCACUCACCCACACGAAAGAAGAAGGUGUGAGAGACAUAUCUCCGAGUACCAGCGUUCUAGUAAUACAGGAAGUGUCAUAUUGUCAUUUUGGUGGGGGCCAAGUCAGAAGCAUCAGUGUAUGUUCGAUGCUUAUGUUGCCUCAAAGGAUAUGAUAGGGUGUGGUUCAUUUAACCGGAAAGAAUUUCUAUCAGGACAGCAGAUCACAUUAUAUUUUAGUUGCCUCUAUGCCAUUGAGAAGACGAUUAGCCAUGAUGACUAUAUAUGCGCAAAAUUAGAAAAUGAAAAAGAUUGUGUGUGCUUAUCUUGUCUAUUUUGUAAUAUAUGAUUCUAAAAUAAAGGUAUACCAUUUAUAAUAG